GAUGAACGCUAGCGAUAGGCUUAACACAUGCAAGUCGAGGGGCAGCACAUGAGUGGCAACACGGUGGUGGCGACCGGCGCACGGGUGAGUCACCCGUAUGCGACCUGCCCGUAACUGGGGGCUAACCCGUCGAAAGGCGGACUAAUACCGCAUGACACCGCGUUCCUGCAUGGGGUUGCGGUCAAAGAUUUAUUGGUUACGUAUCGGCAUGCGUUCCAUUAGGUAGUUGGCGGGGCAACGGACCACCAAGCCUGCGAGGGAUAGGGGUUCUGAGAGGAAGGUCCCCCACACUGGUACUGAGACACGGACCAGACUCCUACGGGAGGCAGCAGUGAGGAAUAUUGGUCAAUGGGCGAGAGCCUGAACCAGCCAAAUCGCGUGAAGGAUGAAGGUAUUAUGUAUUGUAAACUUCUUUUGUCGGGGAAUAAAGUGCGGGACGUGUCCCGUUUUGUAUGUACCCGAAGAAUAAGGAUCGGCUAACUCCGUGCCAGCCGCCGCGGUAACAC
rnacentral:rRNA from 1 species